rnacentral:rRNA from 1 species
AGUCCCGUGAGAAUGCCCUACAGUUUCCUUAAUGGAAACAAGGAGCUGGUAUCAGGCACAAUAUAAUGCCCAUAACACCUUGCUUAGCCACACCCCCAAGGGAACUCAGCAGUGAUAGACAUUAAGCAAUAAGUGAAAACUUGACUUAAUUAAGGCUAAGAGAACCGGUUAAACUCGUGCCAGCCGCCGCGGUUAUACGAGAGGUUCAAGCUGAUAGAUAACGGCGUAAAGAGUGGUUAAUUUAAAAGAGAAGCUAAAGUGGAAUGUUUUCAAAGCUGUUAUACGCACCCGAAAAUAAGAAGACCAAGAACGAAAGUAACUUUAACUUUAUGAAUCCACGAAAACUAUGAAACAAACUGGGAUUAGAUACCCCACUAUGCAUAGCUGUAAACUUUGAUGAACUGUUACAUUAUCAUUCGCCAGGGUACUACGAGCACCAGCUUAAAACCCAAAGGACUUGGCGGUGCUUUAGACCCACCUAGAGGAGCCUGUUCUAGAACCGAUAACCCCCGUUAAACCUCACCCUCCCUUGUUCUUUCC